rnacentral:rRNA from 1 species
AUUGAACGCUGGCGGCAGGCUUAACACAUGCAAGUCGAACGAGUGGCGGACGGGUGAGUAAUGCUUGGGAAUCUAGCUUAUGGAGGGGGAUAACUACGGGAAACUGUAGCUAAUACCGCGUACCAUAGGAUGAGCCCAAGUGGGAUUAGGUAGUUGGUGAGGUAAAGGCUCACCAAGCCGACGAUCUCUAGCUGGUCUGAGAGGAUGACCAGCCAGGCUGGGACUGAGACACGGCCCAGACUCCAACGGGAGGGAGAAAUGGGGAAUAUUGGUCAAUGGGGAAAAACUGACGCAGCCAUGCCGCGUGAAUGAAGAAGGCCUUCGGGUUGUAAAGUUCUUACGGUAGCGAGGCGUUAACUACAGAAGAAGCACAGGAUAACUCCGUGCCAGCAGCCGCGGUAAUAC